rnacentral:rRNA from 1 species
UACGUAGGCAGCGAGCGUUGUUCGGAGUUACUGGGCGUAAAGGGUGCGUAGGCGGUUGUUUAAGUUUGGUGUGAAAUCUCCCGGCUCAACUGGGAGGGUGCGCCGAAUACUGAAUGACUAGAGUGCGGGAGAGGAGAGUGGAAUUCCUGGUGUAGCGGUGAAAUGCGUAGAUAUCUGGAGGAAUACCGGUGGCGAAGGCGGCAUCCUGGACCGACAUUGACGCUGAGGAGCGAAAGCUAGGGGAGCAAACGGG